rnacentral:rRNA from 1 species
GACGAACGCUGGCGGCGUGCUUAACACAUGCAAGUCGAACGGAAAGGCCCUGCUUUUGUUGGGUGCUCGAGUGGCGAACGGGUGAGUAACACGUGAGUAACCUGCCCUUGACUUUGGGAUAACUUCAGGAAACUGGGGCUAAUACCGGAUAGGAGCUCCUGCUGCAUGGUGUGGGUUGGAAAGUUUCGGCGGUUGGGGAUGGACUCGCGGCUUAUCAGCUUGUUGGUGGGGUAGUGGCUUACCAAGGCUUUGACGGGUAGCCGGCCUGAGAGGGUGACCGGCCACAUUGGGACUGAGAGACGGACCAGAAUCCUACGGGAGGCAGCAGUGGGGAAUAUUGCACAAUGGGCGGAAGCCUGAUGCAGCAACGCCGCGUGCGGGAUGACGGCCUUCGGGUUGUAAACCGCUUUCGCCGGUGACGAAGCGUGAGUGACGGUAAUGGGUAAAGAAGCACCGGCUAACUACGUG